CUUUGUCAAGCUUGCACCUUAUAUUUAUCCUAGAAAUCAAGGUAUUCAUAAGAAACAACCUUUGCUUGCAGGGAUAAAACUAAAUACAUAGAUCCUCCCUGCAUUGGCAGGAGACGUGUGCAUCAAUCAAACAGUCGAAAAAAGUUACGAAUCCUGUGAACGUCGACGGAGUCAAUUGUGAUAACUGCACAUCUCAAUUUCAAAUAAAGAUAUAAAACGAUAGGAAAGGGUCAAACCUGCUCACAAACUCUAACAUCCCAACUUAUUUAGAAAACCUAAGAUGACCGACUGACACCGGCUCACGUGCGAUAAAAGAAGGCACCGAGUGUUUUAUUAGCAACUUCUCCAUUUCUAAUCAAAAUAUCUCACGCAAAUCAAACAAUAACAAGAAAGCAUGCCCAUCAAACACAGAAAGAACAAACAACCUAAGCAAUUGCCCGUCACCACAACACAACACAACAAUCGGAAAAAGUUUGGAAAGGACGUACGGUCUCGGGUGACAUGGCGGAAGUUCUUGUAGUCCCCGCCCUGCGACGACAAAUCGGAGUCGGAGAACGACAUCGCCGCUAAGAUGAUAUCGGGAAGCGUCCAGCUCCGAUUCGGUUGGGGGGCUGCAGGGGGUUCCGCGAUCCCAAGGGGGUGGGUUGACCGCCGAGCCUAAGCCGCGGUACCGCUGCUUGGACAAAGGACGAGGGCGACGAUCGAAUCGUGGCGUGCGUUGGGAGGGGGAGGAGGAAGAAGGACGCACCGCGGGUUAGACCGAAGAGGAGGGCGAACAACGAAGCUUCGCGUGCGUAGGGAGGGGGAGGAGGAAGGAGGACGCACCGCAGGUUAGACCGAAGAGGAAGGCGAACAACGAAGCUUCGCGUGCGUCGGGAGGGAAAGGG
rnacentral:lncRNA from 1 species